ACUUCAACUGUGCCGGGCAAAAAAGUUUGGGGGUUCGAUUCCCAUGAGC
rnacentral:tRNA from 13 species